GAGUUUGAUUCUGGCUCAGGACGAACGCUGGCGGCGUGCCUAAUACAUGCAAGUGGAACGCAUUGAUUUCACCGGAGCUUGCUCCACCGAAAUUAGUGAGUCGCGAACGGGUGAGUAACGCGUAGGUAACCUACCUCUUAGCGGGGGAUAACUAUUGGAAACGAUAGCUAAUACCGCAUAACAAUAGGAUACACAUGUACCCUAUUUAAAAGGAGCAACUGCUUCACUAAGAGAUGGACCUGCGUUGUAUUAGCUAGUUGGUAGGGUAACGGCCUACCAAGGCAUCGAUACAUAGCCGACCUGAGAGGGUGAUCGGCCACACUGGGACUGAGACACGGCCCAGACUCCUACGGGAGGCAGCAGUAUGGGAAUCUUCGGCAAUGGGGGGAACCCUGACCGAGCAACCGCCGCGUGAGUGAAGAAGGUUUUCGGAUCGUAAAGCUCUGUUGUAAGAGAAGAACGUGUGAGAGAGUGGAAAGUUCUCACAGUGACGUAACU
rnacentral:rRNA from 1 species